rnacentral:rRNA from 1 species
CAGCAGCCGCGGGAAAACGAAGGGGGCUAGCGUUGCUCGGAAUUACUGGGCGUAAAGGGAGCGUAGGCGGAUCGUUAAGUUGGGGGUGAAAGCCCGGGGCUCAACCCCGGAAUUGCCUUCAAUACUGGCGAUCUUGAGUAUGGAAGAGGUAUGUGGAACUCCGAGUGUAGAGGUGAAAUUCGUAGAUAUUCGGAAGAACACCAGUGGCGAAGGCGACAUACUGGUCCAUUACUGACGCUGAGGCUCGAAAGCGUGGGGAGCAAACAGGAUUAGAGACCCGCGUAGUCCCUGUCUCUUAUAC